UUUCAAUGUUCCAAGUAAAUAGCAAAAGGGUACUAUAUGUAAAAUUAAAAAAAAAUAAAAUGUUAUAUGUAAAAAGUGCUUCAAAACGUAUAAAUUUUUUAAAUUUAAAUUCACGUAAAUUAAAAGGCACGAAACGAGUAGCAAACAUAAAGAGUGUUAUUAAUACACACGUGAUAAGUAACGGACAAAAGGGACAUAGUAACAUGACAUCAGAAAACAACGUGUUUUUACAAGAUCAAGUUAUGUCACAAUAUCAGGUGACACCACAAAACCAAGUGACGCCACAAAACCAAGUGACACCACAAAAUCAAGUGACACCACAAAAUCAAGUGACACCACAAAACCAAGUGACAUCACAAAACCAAGUGAUACCACAACAUAAAAACACUUUUUUUUCAGAUAAAAAAUUAACGAACAUCAUUUUAGUGGUUGAAUAUGAUGGCACAAAUUAUAAUGGGUGGACAGGGUUAGAAAACAAUAGUGUUAUAUAUGAAAAUGCAACUAAAAAUUAUAAAGUUAAAAAAAAAAAAAAUAUUAAAAAUGUAUGUGUUUAUAACACUAUACAGAAUGUUAUACUUAAUUGUAUAUUAAAAAUACAAGGAUAUAAAGAAGAUAGUAAAGAACAAUUAAAUAAAUUUUUAAACAUAUAUAAACCAUUUGACUUUAUAGGGGUAAGUAGAACGGAUAAAGGUGUACAUGCAAAGCAGUAUAUAUGCCAAUAUAUUAAUUAUGAAAAGAAAAUACCUUUUAAUGGUAACAUGAAUAAAAUUAAAAGAGCAUUAAAUUGUUUAUUAAAUAAAGACAUAAAAGUACUAGGCGUUUUUAAUUCACCCUUUGAUACUUUUAAUGUUAGAUACCAUAAUUUUGGAAAAAUUUAUACGUACAAUUUUGAUGUUCAAAUACCUAGUCAGGUUUCGGAAAGAAAUUAUGCAUGGCAGCUUUAUGAUGAUCAUAGAUUUUUUUUUUUGUUAAAAAAUGGGCAAGAAAAAGAAAAGGGUUCCACACAUGUAGAUAAGAUUGUUUCCUCGGCUGUUAAUAGUACUAAUAUUGAUAAUAGUUGUAAAAAUGCUUAUGAAUUAUCGAACCAAGUCGGUAUAGGAAAAACCAAUAUAUUAUUAAACAAUAAAGAUAAAAAUCAAACAAGCCAUUAUUUUUUUGAUCAUAAUAAUUGUUUUAACCCAAGUGAUGAUACUGAUGUCGAUUUUCAAGUAACAGACUCAUUAAACUCGAUGAGUUCCUUAAAAAAAGAAUCACUAUGUAACGAUAUGUCCAUAUUGGACGAAAUAAAAAAAAAAAAUGACAACAUGAUGUGUAGCCAAGAUAUCCUUAAUAAUGUGCAUAGCACAGAUGUAUAUAAAACAAACACUUCAUCGAUGGUUGUAUCAACAAAUGGGCUUGUACAAAAUGAUAGUUCGGAAAAUGAUAGCUCGAAAAAUGAUAGCUCGAAAAAUGAUAGCUCGAAAAAUGAUAGUUCGAAAAAUGAUAGCUCGAAAAAUGAUAGCUCGAAAAAUGAUAGUUCGGAAAAUGAAUACUCAAAAAAUGAAUACUCAAAAAAUGAAUACUCGAAAAAUGAAUACUCGAAAAAUGAAUACUCGAAAAAUGAAUACUCGAAAAAUGAACUCUCACAAAUUAGCAUCAUCGAGAAUAUGUUCAAUAAUGGAAACAUAAAAAAUGAAUAUAAAAAUAUAAAGCAUUGUAAAAAUAUAAUUAACAAGAAGAAAGUAAAUAUAUCAAAAUUUUCAUUCGAUAUAAAAAAAAUAAAAGAAUGUGCUAAGCUGUUUAUAGGUUUGAACAAUUUUGAAUGCUUUCGAGGUUGUUUGAAAGGAACUGAAAAACUAAAAAAAAUAAAUACAUUUUGUACUAUUAGUUUUUUAGAUAUACAUCAAAUCAAAAAUAAUUUAUAUCAAUUUAUUAUUCAAGGGGAUAGGUUUUUAUAUCAUAUGGUACGAAUAAUAGUAGGUACGCUUGUUCAGGUUGGUGCUGGUAUAUUAGAUAUACAGGAUGUAAAAGAUGCUUUACAUUUAUUGAAGCCAUUAAAAACAAAAUUAUGUGCUCCGGCACAAGGACUUUGUUUAAAUAAAGUAUUAUUCCCUGACAUAAUUCAUAACAUGAUUGAUUUAUCUCUAUUAUCUUAU
ensembl:lncRNA